ensembl:antisense Gm37696 predicted gene, 37696
AUCUAGAAGAGAUAUCCAUGUAGACAAGUAGACCAUACUACCGAAGCUUGAUGGCUUUUUCUUUCUUUUUUAUUUUUUUAAGAUGUAUUUAUUAUUAUAUGUAAGUACACUGUAACUGUCUUCAGACACCAGAAGAAGGCUUCUUCAACAACAGAAAAAAAAAAAAGUUGCCAUUUGAAAACAUUCUAUUUGGCAUUUUUUUAGUAGCAGUUUUUAAACUAUAUCCCAAUUAUUUCCCUCAAAUAAGAUAUACACAGGGAAUUAUGAUUUAAUAUGAAGCCACGGCCCAAAAAUUUUAGGAGGGGUGCCAGAGACUGAACCAUUGUUUACUGUGAUAAUUAAGUGGCAUACCAUUGAACUAUGUACUCAGCAAUGUAUGUAUAUGUAUGUGUUGAGAGUAGCUAGGCUAACAGGCCUGGAUUGCUUAACUUAGCUUAAAGCAUACAUAUUUUAAAGUUAAUCACUUCCUUAUAUCAUAGUUUUGUUUGUUUUGAUUUUUUUAAUGAGUCAUUAUCUGCCCCAUGGUAUAAGGAUUUAUAGAACUAAGUCUGAUUACCCUAACCACCAUGUAAAACGUUAGAAGGCAUUACCACACCUGGUUUAUCUUAGAGCCUCCAAUGGUUCAUGAUAUUUAUUAUGAUAAGAGACCCUCAAUAAAUAUCCAUCAGUACAUAGGUAAAUUGUUGCUUUUAUGAGCUCUAUCUGUGGUAGAAGGUUUUGAUAAUCCUUGAUAAGCCAUAGCAACUCCUUGGUCCAAAGAAUAUAUAUAUAUAGUUAUAUAUCCUAAUGGCCAAGUCUCUGAGUCCUGAAAAUGCUGGAGAAAUGACAACCAAGAAACCACACUGUCUUGAGUGACUACAUAGAAAUAAUGCUGCCCUCAAGAGAGGCAUUCAAGCUUCAGAGGGCAAAUGCCCUCUGUGAAGAAGACACUGUCUUCUGACAAUGUGAAAAGGAAAACAGCCUAAAGGAAUUCACAUAAGGGCAGCCUAGCUUUAAACAGAUGCCCAUACUUGAUCUCCCCAUUCACAGGACAGUUGCUAGGUCCCUUGCGAGAUGUAGCUCUGGGCCUGCAAGGAAAGCAGGGAUGCUACAAGGUGAUGCUAAAGCUCUCAAGCAGAAAACUGCUCAGUUACACAGCCCAUCUGUACAAAGGAGCUGAUUUAACUGUGUCUGUAGAUCUCCCAGAGCUAACUGCAGGUACACAAAUCAUUCUAAACUCUCCUCAUUUAGAAAAUCCCCAGAGUAAGUUGGUAGUGAUGACGAAAUUUUAAAGUAGAAGACUAAUGAAUUUGCAGAGUUCUCAAAUGGUCCAUCUCAAAGUCAUUGAACUUCUGAUCCUAGGACCACCUCGCUGCUUGAGGGUUUUAGCAAAGAUACUUUGAUAAUAACCAACCGGAAGCUUCUCUGAAAAUAUUUUCUAAUUUAAGCAGUCAUUGAUUCAUAGGGUUGGUGGUACGCUUUGGAUGGUCAACAUAUUUCGCAUUACUUCAUAGACCGAUUUGAGCAGCCAUUGAAAGAACAAGCAUUGGCCAGUCUUGAUGAGCUCUUGAAAUCUUUGUUAUCUUAAACCAUCAGGAAUAGCUUAGAAUUAUGACCAAGGUGAAAAGAGUCCUGCUCUGUCUUAUUUCUGCAGUGACUACGCCUGUCUGGGUUNNNNNNNNNNNNNNNNNNNNNNNNNNNNNNNNNNNNNNNNNNNNNNNNNNNNAAUCUGGUAUUGCACAUUAUGCUCAGCAAAUAAAUUAAUAUACCUGUUAAUAUUGGGAAUAAAAUCUAUUCAUCUUAAUAAAGAAGUUGUCCUGGACUGAGAUGUCCUGAGGCUGGAUGAGUAUCAUGAUUCAGUAGAUUUGGACCCAUCCUGUUAUAUGCCCGUUUUGAAUGGCUUGGCAUAUGUUAAUUCUUUCAGUCAGUUUUAGAAAACAAGGUCAAAGUCCCUUCUCUAUCUCUUUUCUUUAAAGAUUUAAAGAUUUAUUUUAUUUAUAUGAAUACACUGUAGCUGUCCAGAAGAUUGUGAGCCUUCAUGUGGCUGUGGGGGAAUUGGGACCUCUGCUCACUCUGGUCAUCCCUGGUCCCUUAGGCCCAAAAAUGUAUUUAUUAUUAUUCAUAAGUACACUGUAGUUGUCUUCAGACACACCAGAAGAGGGCAUCAGAUCUCAUUACGGGUGGUUGUGAACCACCAUGUGGUUGCUGGGAUUUGAACUCAGGACCUUCAGAAGAGCAGUCGGUGCUCUUAACCGCUGAGCCAUCUCUCCAGCCCUGAAGUCCCUUCUCUUCACUUGAUCUUAGCCAAAAGGCCGAGAAGCGAUUGAAGUCCCUUCUCUUAAAGGUAAAUUAUCUGACCUUUUGUUUUGGGUCAUCUGCCAGAGUCCCUUAUCUAUGGGGAAGACCCGUGCUCCUCUUGCUAUUGGGUCUCAGAUCUGCCAGAGACUUCAUCUAUGGGAAAGACCUGUGCUCCUCCUGCAGCACAACUUUAUUUGGUGAAGGUACAAAGGAAGCUCGUGGAAGGAAGCAUUUAGAGAGAUUUAGUUGAUCUAGGUUUUCUUGGUUUGAAAGAGCCACCUCAAACCCCCGUCUGUUUAAGAUUCCUCUCCUCAGAAUGUUCUGUUCCAGAGAACCAAAUAUAGAAAUAGGAGAAAUUGCUUAGCUCCAUUACAAAGAAUUUGUCUCUCUUUCUUUUCCCUCACAAACCACUGGAUGAAAGGAGCCCCCAUUUCUCCCUGCAGGGAUGCCUGCACACCACUUCCCGACACAGUUGAAGCCUAUCAGCCCUCUGCAGUGGUGACUCCUCCAACUCCUUCAGCCUGUGGUUCAGAGGGAGACAAUGAGGGCCUGUGCAAAGGAACGGAAGUUGCACUUGUAAAUCAUCACCAGCAGUGGGGUCUGCUUUAUAGAAUCUGCCUAAUGGGGACUCUGUUUUACUGGGAAUUACAUAAUCGAGCAAUCAGAAAGUAGUAUAAAAAAAGAUUUGCGAGCUAUAGCUUAGGAAGACCGUACCUCAAAGCAGAAAACAGUUUUGUGUUUAUUGGUUUCAGGUCUGUUAGUAAUGCUUGUAGGAAAAUAUAUUUAAAGCCUGCUAUGUACCAAAAGAUUACUGUUAUUUAUUCAACAUUUGUAAUAAGGUCAUAUGACUGCUAAAUAUAUUUUUAAAGUUCCUUUCUGUUAAGAGAUUUCUAUCCUUAAAAAUCUUAACUGUUUUAUACAAACAAUCUUGUGGGAUUAAAAAAAAGGAGUAACCC